UUGAUAGUUGACCGUCGGUCUGCCGAGCAAUAUCACCCGCUCGGUGGAAGAUCUUCCUUUUGUUGU
rnacentral:pre_miRNA from 1 species